CCCGGGUAGGGGACGUAUCAGAUAUUAAACUGAUAAGAACAGAUACUACACUUGAUCUUAGCCAAAAGGCCGAGAAGCGAUACCGACAGCUGCAGACAAGAAACGGUGUCAUUCUACACAACUGUAAACACGAGGACGCAAGUGUUUUGUCUCUUACCCUACUCUCCUGGCCAAGUUCUCUUCAGACAUGACUUCUGCCAAGAUUUCCUUCUAUAAGGAAAAAGCACAAAACCCUUGUCCUUCACUUCUGCUUCGACUGCACUCCAUCUCACAGACAGGAUCCUCCUACUCCUUGGUUGUCGUAUUUCUCAACCCAUAGCAGCAGAAGAGAAACUCAUCUUGCUCCCCUCAUCUUGAUCAACUCCACUCCACUAUGCUCCAAGCCAUCUCGCAAGACCUUCUGCCCUUCAUCACCACGAUCAUCAAUGGAUCGAUAACAUCUGGUCAUAUACCAACUACCCUCAACUACCAUCCUGAAGAAACCUGUUCUGGAUCCAUCAGACAUCAGUGACUACAGACCAGCAUAACUUCUUUCUUUUCUUUCAAAAAUUCUUGAAUGCAUUGUCUAUAAUCAACUUUCUGCCUAUCGCUCACUGAACAACCUCCAAUAUCCCAACCAGUCUGGCUUUAAAGCAGCACAUUCUUCAGAGACAGCCCAUUUGGAUAUCUCUGAGAAAAGACAUACCCCCAGAUCACCCAAGCUGUCAUCUGUCCUUGUCAUCCCUGACCUUUCUGCAGAAUUUGAUACGGUCCACCACAAGACUGUCAUGUCCACUCUCAGGAUUCUUGAAAUUUGAGCAUUGGAAUGGUUUGCUUCCUGCCUGGAAGAUGGCUCAAAUCAGGUAACUUGAAGGGCAGUGACAUCUGCUCCACGCAGAUUUCCACUGUUGUCCCACAGGGCUCAGUACUUGUUCCUCUCUUUUCUCUCUGUACACUCACUCUCUUGGUAAAGUUUUUUCCUCACACAGGUUCUCUUACCACUGCUAUGCUGAUGACACACAAAUUAUAUUGUCUUACCUAGCCUCAGAUACCACAGAUUCUGUUCGGAUCUCAGCACGUCUGUCAGACAUAUUAUCAUGGAUGACGGCUCAUCAGUUGAAACUUAGUCCUGGCAAAACUGAACUGCUGAUCACAAGCUGAGAUUCACAAGCUCUGCCACAAAACUAAAAACUGACAACCUGGUAAGAGAUGGUUCCACAUAGAUCCAUUAAUAUCAUAAAAAAAUCUUUUGGCAAUCAUAAGGACCAUGUAAAUAGGCCCUUAUUCAUUUGUUGUAUGUGUUUGUUGUAUGUGUCGGUUGUAUGUGUUUGUAAUGUUUUUUUGUGUUGUGUUUAUUAAAAAAGGAAGGGGGGGGUAUAUAUUCAUUAUGUUUUCAAGUGUUUUUAAGAUAAAAAAAAAAAAGAUGUGGGGAUGGACUAGGAUGGCAGCUCUCAUGACAACCUUAAAGAUACAAGAGUGCGCAAUGCUGUCCCAAAGGUCUUAUUUUCAACGGAUCCAUGUUCCCGUCUUGGUGAACCUUACAGCAUGGUCUCCAGACACAGAUGAACAGUGCCACUGUGAGAGUGUGACAGGAAUGUAUAAGGUCUUCUUGACAACAACGUUUCUGAGAGGCCAUUGACGAGGUGUGGUCAAGUCAGCAAUGACACCUUGAUCCAGGAUCCGCCAAACACAAUCGUGUACAAAGUAGUACGUAGCACGACCAUCAAAGACAUUGAUGUGCCCUACUACAAAUGUCUGCGUGGAAGCAACAGCCUGGAGGGAUUUCACAAAGCUUUGUCUAAUAUAAUUCCAGGUCCCCACUGUGCAGCUUCAAGGUUUACCUGAUAAGCGACAUUGUGCUGUGAAACGCGGACAGGAGCUCAGAUGCAGUGUUUGGUGGCAAAGAACAGCACCACAAGGAGCUGCUCCGGUUUUCAGCCAGAGUAUGGGCUA